rnacentral:rRNA from 1 species
GAGUUUGAUCAUGGCUCAGGAUGAACGCUGGCGGCGUGCUUAACACAUGCAAGUCGAACGAACCUUCGGGUUAGUGGCGGACGGGUGAGUAACGCGUGAGAAUCUGCCCUCAGGAGGGGGAUAACAGCUGGAAACGGCUGCUAAUACCCCAUAUGCCGCGAGGUGAAAUGAAUUUCGCCUGAGGAUGAGCUCGCGUCUGAUUAGCUAGUUGGUGUAGGUAAUGGCUCACCAAGGCAUCGAUCAGUAGCUGGUCUGAGAGGAUGAUCAGCCACACUGGGACUGAGACACGGCCCAGACUCCUACGGGAGGCAGCAGUGGGGAAUUUUCCGCAAUGGGCGAAAGCCUGACGGAGCAACGCCGCGUGAGGGAUGAAGGCCUCUGGGCUGUAAACCUCUUUUAUCAAGGAAGAAGAUCUGACGGUACUUGAUGAAUAAGCCACGGCUAAUUCCGUGCCAGCAGCCGCGGUAAUACGGGAGUGGCAAGCGUUAUCCGGAAUUAUUGGGCGUAAAGCGUCCGCAGGCGGCCCUUCAAGUCUGCGGUUAAAAAGUGGAGCUUAACUCCAUCAUGGCAGUGGAAACUGAGGGGCUUGAGUGUGGUAGGGGCAGAGGGAAUUCCCGGUGUAGCGGUGAAAUGCGUAGAUAUCGGGAAGAACACCAGUGGCGAAGGCGCUCUGCUGGGCCAUCACUGACGCUCAUGGACGAAAGCCAGGGGAGCGAAAGGGAUUAGAUACCCCUGUAGUCCUGGCCGUAAACGAUGAACACUAGGUGUCGGGGGAAUCGACCCCCUCGGUGUCGUAGCCAACGCGUUAAGUGUUCCGCCUGGGGAGUACGCACGCAAGUGUGAAACUCAAAGGAAUUGACGGGGGCCCGCACAAGCGGUGGAGUAUGUGGUUUAAUUCGAUGCAACGCGAAGAACCUUACCAGGGUUUGACAUCCUGCGAAUCUCUUGGAAACGAGAGAGUGCCUUCGGGAACGCAGUGACAGGUGGUGCAUGGCUGUCGUCAGCUCGUGCCGUGAGAUGUUGGGUUAAGUCCCGCAACGAGCGCAACCCACGUCUUUAGUUGCCAGCAUUUAGUUGGGCACUCUAGAGAGACCGCCGGUGAUAAACCGGAGGAAGGUGUGGAUGACGUCAAGUCAUCAUGCCCCUUACAUCCUGGGCUACACACGUACUACAAUGCUACGGACAAAGGGCAGCAAGUUCGCGAGGACAAGCAAAUCCCAUAAACCGUGGCUCAGUUCAGAUCGUAGGCUGCAACUCGCCUACGUGAAGGAGGAAUCGCUAGUAAUCGCAGGUCAGCAUACUGCGGUGAAUACGUUCCCGGGCCUUGUACACACCGCCCGUCACACCAUGGAAGUUGGCCACGCCCGAAGCCGUUACUCCAACCCUUGUGGAGGAGGACGUCGAAGGUGGGGCUGAUGACUGGGGUGAAGUCGUAACAAGGUAACC